rnacentral:rRNA from 1 species
GACGAACGCUGGCGGCGUGCCUAAUACAUGCAAGUCGAACGCAGGGGGGACAGGUGAGUAACACGUGGGUAACCUCCCAUCAGAGGGGAUAACACUUGGAAAAAGGUGCUAAACCGAUACUGGUUGAUGGACCCGCGGUGCAUUAGCUAGUUGGUGAGGUAACGGCUCACCAAGGCCACGAUGCAUAGCCGGCCUGAGAGGGUGAUCGGCCACACUGGGACUGAGACACGGCCCAGACUCCGACGGGAGGCAGCAGUAGGGAAUCUUCGGCAAUGGACGAAAGUCUGAUCGAGCAACGCCGCGUGAGUGAAGAAGGUGUUCGGAUUGUAAAGCUCUUUUGGCAGAGAAGCGGUAUCUAAACAGAAAGCCCCGGCUAACUACGUGCCAGCAGCCGCGGUAAUAC